GGGGGGGGGGGGGUAGAAGUAUGAGGUUUUCUAAUCUGCCUUGGGCCAGAUCCAGCAGUCAAUUAUGUCCAACGCAGUAGUGAUUUAAAUCUUUACUUUUUUUUCAUGCAAAUUCAGAAAAUAAAGGGGAAAAUAUCUAUUUCUAUUACAUCAUUAAAACUAAAAAUUAAUUAUCCCCCUUGAUUUCUGAACAUUGAUUCUUAUGACAAAUAUAAUAGUUCACUAAGACACAACGUAGAAAAUUGUUUUGACUUUUGUAAAGGUAGUUUAUAUAAACCAUAAUGAAAUCCUCAUUUUUUUGUUAUAAAUAGUUUACCAUUGUUUGUUAUAGAUGUACACUUAUCUGGUUUCAUUAAAUCAAAUAUGUAUGGCUUAACUGGCAUUGUCCAUGCAUGGCACGGGAUUUUUUUUUUUUUUUUUUUUAAAUAAUGUAAAUAUGUAAAUAUUAAAUGUGUUGGUAUGCCAGAAGGUUUGAAAAAUGUCUUCCAAAUAUUUAGUAAGCCAAAUUGGCAAAAUGUAUGAAUGAAUAAAUGUUUGUAUUACCAUGGAGUGAGAUUGUGGAAUGGAAGCGUUUGGAAAUAUUGAAAAUGGCAACAUAAUAAACUGUCAUUAAAGAACAACAAAU